rnacentral:tRNA from 2 species
CAUUGAGAAGCUAUGCAACAGCACUAGCCUUUUAAGCUAGCCAAAGAGGAAUUUCCCCCUCCUCAAUGA